rnacentral:rRNA from 1 species
CGUUUUUCACUCCUUACGGGAGGCAGUCAGUGGGAAUAUUGCUACAAUGGGCGCAAGCCUGAUGCAGCCAUGUCCGCGUGGUAUGAAGAAGGCCUUCGGGUUGUAAAGUACUUUUCAGCAGUGAGGAAGGUCAGGUACGUUAAUAGCGUGCUUGUUUGACGUUAGCUGCAGAAGAAGCACCGGCUAACUCCGUGCCAGCAGCCGCGGUAAUACGGAGGGUGCGAGCGUUAAUCGGAAUUACUGGGCGUAAAGCGCAUGCAGGUGGUUUGUUAAGUCAGAUGUGAAAGCCCGGGGCUCAACCUCGGAAUCGCAUUUGAAACUGGCAGACUAGAGUACUGUAGAGGGGGUAGAAUUUCAGGUGUAGCGGUGAAAUGCGUAGAGAUCUGAAGGAAUACCGGUGGCGAAGGCGGCCCCCUGGACAGAUACUGACACUCAGAUGCGAAAGCGUGGGGAGCAAACAGGAUUAGAUACCCUGGUAG